CGGUUUCUGUACGGAGCGGCGAAAGGGUGAGUAAUGCGUAGGCAAUCUACCCGAGAGCCCGGGGUAACUACUGGAAACGGUGGCUAAUACCGGAUGGCCCUGGUUGGUGGCAUCACCGACCUGGUAAAGGGGGGGACCUUCGGACCUCUCUCUCUCGGAGGAGCCUACGUCCUAUCAGCUAGUUGGUGGGGUAACGGCCCACCAAGGCGAUGACGGGUAGCCGGGCUGAGAGGUUGGCCGGCCACACUGGGACUGAGACACUGCCCAGACUCCUACGGGAGGCUGCAGUCGAGAAUCAUCCGCAAUGGGCGAAAGCCUGACGGUGCAACGCCGCGUGGAGGACGAAGGCCUUCGGGUUGUAAACUCCUGUCACGUGAUGAGAAAUGCAGGAUGCUAACAUCAUCCUGUCUGACAACUCAUGAGAGGAAGUCACGGCUAACUCUGUGCCAGCAGCCGCGGUAAUACAGAGGUGGCAAGCGUUGUUCGGAAUCACUGGGCAUAAAGGGCGCGUAGGCGGUCGAUUUAGUCGGUUGUGAAAGCCCUCGGCUCAACCGAGGAACUGCAUCCGAUACUGGUCGGCUAGAGUGUGGAAGGGGAGAGUGGAACUCCUGGUGGAGCGGUGAAAUGCGUAGAUAUCAGGAGGAACGCCGGUGGCGAAAGCGACUCUCUGGUCCAUAACUGACGCUGAGGCGCGAAAGCCAGGGGAGCAAACGGGAUUAGAUACCCCGGUAGUCCUGGCCCUAAACGAUGGGCACUAGGUAGUGGGGGGUCCGAUCUUCUCACUGCCGGAGCAAAUGUGUUAAGUGCCCCGCCUGGGGAGUACAGUCGCAAGGCCGAAACUCAAAGGAAUUGACGGGGGCUCACACAAGCGGUGGAGGAUGUUGCUUAAUUCGAAGCAACGCGAAGAACCUUACCUGGGCUUGACAUGGAUGUGGUACGGACCCGAAAGGGCGAGGACCCGGUUUUCCGGGAGCAUUCACAGGUGUUGCAUGGCUGUCGUCAGCUCGUGUCGUGAGAUGUUGGGUUAAGUCCCGUAACGAGCGAGACCCUUAUCGUUAGUUGCCAGCGGGUAAUGCCGGGGACUCUAGCGAGACUGCCGGUGUCAAACCGGAGGAAGGUGGGGACGACGUCAAGUCAUCAUGGCCCUUACGCCCAGGGCUGCAAACGUCCUACAAUGGUCGGUACAAAGGGAUGCAAUACCGCAAGGUGGAGC
rnacentral:rRNA from 1 species